UACGUAGGGGCUAGCGUUAUCCGGAAUUACUGGGCGUAAAGGGUGCGUAGGUGGUUUCUUAAGUCAGAGGUGAAAGGCUACGGCUCAACCGUAGUAAGCCUUUGAAACUGAGAAACUUGAGUGCAGGAGAGGAGAGUAGAAUUCCUAGUGUAGCGGUGAAAUGCGUAGAUAUAUGGAGGAACACCAGUGGCGAAGGUGACUCUCUGGUCUGUAACUGACGCUGAGGCUCGAAAGCGUGGGGAGCAAACAGGAUUAGAUACCCUGGUAGUCCCU
rnacentral:rRNA from 1 species